ACCUGCGGAGGGAUCAUUACCGAGUUUACAACUCCCAAACCCCUGUGAACAUACCUUAUGUUGCCUCGGCGGAUCAGCCCGCGCCCCGUAAAAAGGGACGGCCCGCCGCAGGAACCCUAAACUCUGUUUUUAGUGGAACUUCUGAGUAUAAAAAACAAAUAAAUCAAAACUUUCAACAACGGAUCUCUUGGUUCUGGCAUCGAUGAAGAACGCAGCAAAAUGCGAUAAGUAAUGUGAAUUGCAGAAUUCAGUGAAUCAUCGAAUCUUUGAACGCACAUUGCGCCCGCCAGUAUUCUGGCGGGCAUGCCUGUUCGAGCGUCAUUUCAACCCUCAAGCCCAGCUUGGUGUUGGGAGCUGCAGUCCUGCUGCACUCCCCAAAUACAUUGGCGGUCACGUCGAGCUUCCAUAGCGUAGUAAUUUACACAUCGUUACUGGUAAUCGUCGCGGCCACGCCGUUAAACCCCAACUUCUGAAUGUUGACCUCGGAUCAGGUAGGAAUACCCGCUGAACUUAAGCAUAUCAAA
rnacentral:rRNA from 1 species